rnacentral:lncRNA from 10 species
UGAGCUGAGAUCAGGCCGCUGUACUCCAGCCUGGGCAACAGAAUGAGGCUCCAUCUCAAAAAAACGACAGACAAACAAAAAACAGUGCUGUUGAGUGUGCAUUGAGACAGGCAUUUUCCAACACUGCCUUUCUGGAAGCAGGGAGGAGAGGCACAGAAAUUUCAGCAAGGGUAAAGUCUUCAUCCUGCAACCAUAUUUCUAGGAGUCUAGAUAAUUCGAUAUACAGGUAAAGUCACAGCAUUUAUUUAAUCAUGUUAAUUAGUUAUGUAACAUAUAAUAAAAUAAUAUUGUAUGUUAAUACAUAAUAUAAAUAUAUUAUGCUAAUACAUUGAUAUAUACACACUUAGUCCUUCUAUCUGUUACUAAAGGGAGCUCACGUGGCACCAACAAGGAAACACACACUUAGUCCUUCUAUCUGUUACUAAAGCGAGCUCACGUGACAUCAACAAGGAAACACACUUAGUCCUUCUAUCUGUUACUAAAGGGAGUUCACGUGACAUCAGCAAGGAAACACAGUCUUAUCUGUUACUAAAGCGAGCUCACGCGACAUCAACAAGGAAACACAGUUAGUCCUUCUAUCUGUUACUAAAGGGAGCUCACGAGACAUCAACAAGGAAACACAGUUAGUCCUUCUAUCUGUUACUAAAGGGAGCUCACGUGACAUCAACAAGGAAACACACUUAGUCCUUCCAUCUGUUACUACAGGGAGCUCACGUGACAUCAGCAAGGAAACACAGUACUAUCUGUUACUAAAGGGAGCUCACGUGACAUCAAAAACGAAACACACUUAGUCCUUCUAUCUGUUACUAAAGGGAGCUCACGCGACAUCAACAAGGAAACACAGUCCUUCUAUCUGUUACUAAAGGGAGCUCACGUGACAUCAACAAGGAAACAAACUUAGUCCUUCUAUCCGUUACUAAAGUGAGCUCAUGUGACAUCAACAAGGAAACACAGUUAGUCCUUCUAUCUGUUACUAAAGCAAGCUCACCUGACAACAACAAGAAAAUACACACUUAGUCCUUUGUAUCUGUUACUCAAGCGAGCUCAUGACAUCAACAAGGAAACACACACUUACUCCUUCUGUUACUAAAGGGAGCUCAUGUGACAUCAACAAGGAAACACACAGUUAGUCCUUCUAUCUGUUGCUAAAGGGAGCUCAUGUGACAUCAACAAGGAAACACAGUUUGUCCUUCUAUCUGUUAUUAAAGGGAGCCCACGCGACAUCAACAAGGAAACACAAUCAGUCCUUCUAUCUGUUACUAAAGGGAGCUCACGUGACAUCAGCCAGGAAACACACUUAGUCCUUCUAUCUGUUACUAAAGGGAGUUCACAUGACAUCAGCAAGGAAACACAGCCCUUCUAUCUGUUACUAAAGGGAGCUCACGCGACAUCAACAAGGAAACACAGUCCUUCUAUCUGUUACUAAAGCGAGCUCACGCGACAUCAACAAGGAAACACAGUCCUUCUAUCUGUUACUAAAGGGGGCUCACGUGACAUGAACAAGGAAACACACUUAGUCCUGCUAUCUGUUACUAAAGCGAGCUCAUGCGACAUCAACAAGGAAACACAGUCCUUCUAUCUGUUACUAAAGCGAGCUCACGUGACAUCAACAAGGAAACACACUUAGUCCUUCUAUCUGUUACUAAAGUGAGCUCAUGUGACAUCAACAAGGAAACACAGUCCUUCUAUCUGUUACUAAAGGGGGCUCAUGUGACAUCAACAAGGAAACACACUUAGUCCUAUCUGUUACUAAAGCGAGCUCAUGUGACAUCAACAAGGAAACACACUUAGUCCUUCUAUCUGUUACUAAAGGGAGUUCACGUGACCUCAGCAAGGAAACACAGUCUUAUCUGUUACUAAAGUGAGCUCACGUGACAUCAACAAGGAAAUAGACUUAGUCCUUCUAUCUGUUACUAAAGGGGGCUCACGUGACUUCAACAAGGAAACACAGUUAGUCCUUCUAUCUGUUACUAAAGCAAGCUCACAUGACAUCAACAAGGAAACAGAGUCCUUCUAUCUGUUACUAAAGGGGGCUCACGUGGCAUCAACAAGGAAACACACUUAGUCCUUCUAUCUGUUACUAAAGGGAGCUCACGUGGCAUCAACAAGGAAACACAGUUAGUCCUUCUAUCUGUUACUAAAGCGAGCUCACGCGACAUCAACAAGGAAACACACUUAGUCCUUCUAUCUGUUACUAAAGCGAGCUCACGCGACAUCAACAGGGAAACACAGUUAGUCCUUGUAUCUGUUACUAAAGCGAGCUCAUGCGACAUCGACAAGGAAACACAGUCUUAUCUGUUACUAAAGGGAGCUCACGUGGCAUCAACAAGGAAACACACUUAGUCCUUCUAUCUGUUACUAAAUCGAGCUCACGCGACAUCAACAAGGAAACACAGUCCUUCUUUCUGUUACUAAAGGGGGCUCACGUGACAUCAACAAGGAAACACACUUAGUCCUUCUAUCUGUUACUAAAGCGAGCUCAUGUGACAUCAACAAGGAAACACACUUAGUCCUUCUAUCUGUUACUAAAGUGAGCUCACGCGACAUCAACAAGGAAACACAGUCCUUCUAUCUGUUACUAAAGGGGGCUCACGUGACAUCAACAAGGAUACACACUUAGUCCUUCUGUUACUAAAGCGAGCUCAUGCGACAUCAACAAGGAAACACAGUCCUUCUAUCUGUUACUAACGCGAACUCACGUGAUAUCAACAAGGAAACACACUUAGUCCUUCUAUCUGUUACUAAAGCGAGCUCACGUGACAUCAGCAAGGAAACACAGUCCUUCUAUCUGUUACUAAAGGGGGCUCAUGUGACAUCAACAAGGAAACACACUUAGUCCUAUCUGUUACUAAAGCGAGCUCAUGUGACAUCAACAAGGAAACACACUUAGUCCUUCUAUCUGUUACUAAAGCGAGCUCACGCGAUAUCAACAAGGAAACACAGUCCUUCUAUCUGUUACUAAAGGGGGCUCACGUGACAUCAACAAGGAAACACACUUAGUCCUUCUAUCUGUUACUAAAGGGAGCUCACGUGACAUCAGCAAGAAAACACAGUCCUUCUAUCUGUUACUAAAGGUAGCUCACGUGACAUCAGCAAGGAAACACAGUCCUUCUAUCUGUUACUAAAGGGAGCUCACGUGACAUCAGCAAGGAAACACAGUCCUUCUGUCUGUUACUAAAGGGAGCUCACGCGACAUCAACAAGGAAACACAGACCUUCUAUCUGUUACUAAAGCGAGGUCACGUGACAUCAACAAGGAAACAUACAGUUAGUCCUUUGUAUCUGUGAUUUGUGCAUGUGCUGAUUCAAGCAGCCACGAGUCAAAAAUAUUUGCAAAAAAAGCCCUUUAAACUGUAUUGAACAUAUACAAAGUUUUUCUUUUUAUUAUUCUCUAAAUGACACAGUGUAACAACGAUUUGCAUAGCAUUUACAUUGUAGUAGGUGUUACCAGUAAUCUAGAGAUGAUUUAAAGUAUAGGGAGAAUGUGCAUAGUCUACGCUGAAUACUACACAACUGCAUAUCAGGGACUUGAGCGUCUAGGGAUUCUGGUAUCUGGGGGAGGUCCUGGAUCCAAUUUCUCAUGAAUAUCGACAGAUGACUGUAUGUUGUAUCUUGAUGCAAUGAAUAAACAAAGCAGAUAACAGUAACUGACAUGGGGUAGAAGGUGAGGGGAAAUGAAGGGGUUGCUAUUUAUAUGUUUACAUGGGAUGAACAGGGCAGACCCCACAGAGGGGAUAUUUAACAGAAGCUAAACGUACGAGAAGCAGUCCUGAGAACUGUAGACCAAGAGAGCUCGUGGUGGCCCUGGGAAGGGGCUUGUCAAAUCUCGUGGCCCCUAGGGGCUGGUGACUGUUAGCGGCUGGCCAACAGCCAGCUGCCGCCCUGAAAUCUACCACUGUCAGCCGGUAACCCACCAUGGUGGAGUAUAAAGGCAGGCCUGCUGCGAGGAGAUGAAAGACUCCUCUGCUGGGCAGCCUGGGCUGGAGGGUUCUACUACCAGCCUUGCCAAAAGUUUCUCAGAAUUGCACUGCAUUUUAAGACUUUGCCUGCCCAGCCCCCUGCAGCCCCUUCUCAUUUUCCUCCACAUGCACUUCUCCCAAAUAAUCUCUUGAGUGGCAAAUACCAUUCCGGUGUUUGCUGCUCCAAGAGCCCAGAUGUACACAGUGUUCCAAGAGAGGCUGCACAAAUACAGUGGCCCCGAGGAGCUUGGCAUUUUCGAGGAGCAUCAAGGAGGCCAGCGUGGCGUUCAUGGAAAGGACAGAGGGAGAGUGGGAGAUGAGGUCAGAAAUGUACUUGAAGUCCUUGCCGAAGAAAAAUCGUUGACUUGCUUAUUAUAAAACCCUUUUUGUUAAGGAAGAAAUAAAAACUGUUAACCAAUGGCAUCUGUAUCCAUUACAGAAUUUAAAGGCAGGGUAUCAUACAGCCAGUACCUUACAGUCUUCCCAUUAGCAGCAUUCAACACAUCUGUCCAGGUAGUAAACCUAAGUGGCCCAGCUCUGGGCCAUUAAAUUUUGAUGUAACCCAUUAAGGAAACUUACGGCCUUAGUUCAAAGGGCUGUUGCCAUUGUGUCUGUGAGAGCGGUGCUGCAGAGUGCAUUUUAUGCAAAUCUCAUAGAUUUUAAUGAGUGAUCCUGCUUAAUAAGCUAGUUAGACCAUUUGGGCAUUUACUUGAGAGUGACCACAAAUGCCUUUUUCUGAAACCAUUUUACAGUGCUAACAUUUCACUGAAAUAGCACUUAACACGGAGCCAGGCACACAGUGAGCACUAAGAGUGUUACAUGACUGAUGACAGGGAUGAAGAACAGGAGUCUUACCAGGUGUGUCAGUCUCGAUGCUCCUGAAUGACCCAGACAAAAAGGGACUAGAAACUUUCUUUUCAGGAGUUUGUGGCUUAGAUCCCUGUUUCACCACAAAGCAUGAGCUUGACACAGCCUGGACUUGACAGCACUUUCCACAGGGCACUUAAAAAUACUUGUACCUCCUCUCUUUUACCUCCAUAAACCAUGACAGGUCUUUGCUCAGCCUCUGAUAAGCAAAAGAUUAGAAAAUCCCUUUAAACUUCAGAAACAGAGCAAUGCUCAGUCAGGCGAUAAAAGCUGCAGAAAUUGGUCUUGAAUAUUAUCACUGUGUAUCAACUGAAGUCAGAUGAAGAGCUCCACAUUCAUCCAAAGUUCUUUUCAUACUAAUUAGAUGCUCUUCAAAGGUGUAAUUACCAUUUAAAAAUGACUUUGGAGUGCAGGAUACACAAUAGAUUUUUAAUGUCUUUUAAUUUAUUUCGAUGUUUCUCAUAUUUCAUUAGUACGUUCUUAUUUUACCAAUGAGUCACAGGACUUUCAAGGACUUUUCCCUCUCCCACAGUUAAAAUGCUAAGCAGAAGCUAAGCUCACGUGAAAAACUUGUCUCAAUAACCAGAGAAAGACUAUACUAAUUACAAUUUGGAUUGUGUGGAUUAUCAAUUUGUCCGAUACUCCGUUUGCCUCCACCUUGAGGAGAGAACUAUUUCCAGCCCCAGAGUCAAGCUGCCUCAUUGCACGGAAGAGGGAGUAAAAUAAGAAGCCUGGUGAUGUGCUUAUUGUCACAAUUUGUGGUACAGCUGACACUUAGACUACAUCUGCCCUUGAAGCUCAACUUCUUUGCCCUACUCCUGUGGUGUUUCUUGGCAUCUGGUAUCAUUUCAAAAGGAUAAGAAUGGCAUAGAGAAGGUUUCUCAUUGCUAAGCAUGGAGUAGGAAUAUUUUAGUGAAAUGUGUAAGUUUUGGGGCGGAAGUAAAAACACCCCAUCUGCUCUUCCACACUUGGAGAGAGCUGCACACAAAGCAGCAACUUGGCUCUGGGCGGCAGCUGGCUGAGGUCUCAUGGUCUGGAGGACAGCCCCUGGCUUUCACAUCGUCCGUGUCUUGCCAUUUCUCUUUGGAUAAGGCACAAAUGUCUGAAGAUAUCCUCCAGGCCCGAGGACCUGCUCCUAUUCUAUCCAGUCUCGUCUUUCAUGAGCCACUGUGCUUCAGCCACUGCUUUUCCUUCCACCCCUUUGUCUUUCCUUUUUCCCAGGUAUAAGGCCUUUGCACUUUCUAAACCCUCUCCUGCGUCUAGUGGGGACUUGGAGAAUCUUUGUGUCUCCCUAAGGGAUUGUGGAUGUACCAAUCAGCAACCUGUGUCUAGCUCAAGGUUUGUAAAUGCACCAAUCAGUGCUUUGUGUCUAGCUAACCUAGUGGGGACUUGGAGAACUUUUGUGUCUAGCUCAGGGAUUGCAAAUGCACCAAUCAGCACCCUGUCAAAAUGGACCAAUCAGCUCUCUGUAAAAUAGACAAAUCAGCUCUCUGUAAAAUGGACCAAUCAGCAAGGUGUAGGUGGGGCCAGAUAAGGGAAUAAAAGUAGGCUGCCUGAGCCAGCAGUGGUAACCUGCUAGGGUCCCCUUCUGCACUGUGGAAGCUUUGUUGUUUUGCUCUUUGCAAUAAAUCUUGUUUCUGCUCACUCUUUGGGUCCACAUUGCCUUUAUGAGCUCUAACACUCAUCGCGAAGGUCUACAGCUUCAUUCCUGAGCCAGCCAGACCACGAACCCACCAGGAGGAAUGAGCAACUCCAGACAAGAGGAAGGAGCAAACUCCGGACACACCGCCUUUAAGAACUGUAACGCUCACUGCGAGGGUCCGUGGCUUCAUUCUUGGAGUCAGUGAGACCAAGAACUCACCAAUUCCUGACACAAAGAGAGGCCUAAGAAACCAUCUAGGCCAAUGCUAUGGUUUUGGAGUUCAGGACAUUGUGGCUUAGAGACAAUAAUGGAUCUGCCUAAAAUCACAACACAAACUAGUACCAGUUCUUGAAUGAAAAUGUAGGUCUUCUGAUUCCUAGCCAAAUGCUUUUUAUAAGAAUGAAAAUUUUGUGUCCUUGGAAGGCCUAAGGCAUUUUCCCAGAGUAACUUAGAAGAGUCGGGCUCCAUGAAUAAUUUAGUAAUAUAGAAAUAAGAUUUUUUAAAAUGUCUAAAAUUGACUGCAUGACCCUGGAUAUAAAGUAUAAAAGCAGAAGACAGAUGUGAUGUGAGGCUGGCAACAAGUCGUGCCAUGCUCUAUGUACCCACACUAAAAGACAAUAUCCUUUCCACCUUACAUACUUUAUGGCAGUAUAAGCAUGUUAAGUAUGCAAAUCCUACAAUGCUGGCAACAUUUCAAGACUAGUUGUGUCACGGUGUUCAUAAGCCUGGGAGCUCACUAAGCUACAGAGCUCUUAAAACGUAGAAGUAGAAGAGGUAGAAAAAAAAAAGGAAUCACACUCCUUAUUACUGUAAACCAAAGAAAAAAUAUUUACAUUUUCAGCAUUCUGUUGGGUAGGAAAAAAGCUUUUCCUAUCCCAUCUUACAUGUUGUGCUGGAGCCUGUGAAUUAAAUUGAAAAAACAACAGCAACAAAAAUUAACAAGAGGCAAAAGCACACACAUGUAAUUGAUGUUUUCAUGUUACAUGCGUGCUGGCUACACAUAAGAUAAGUGAAAAACUCAAAACACUGGUUAGACUCAGGGGCUUAUAAACGAUGUGUGUAAUUCUGGAAUAAUCCUACUGACCUUGAAGCAGGCCCAAUACUCCCACAGCGUGUUCUUUUGUAUAAACAUAGACAUUGACUCUUCCGCUCUUAAAGCUUGAAACUUGUAUUUGUUUCAUCUGAGUUCUUUCCUCAGGAAAGGACCUUCAGGCCUCUCCAAAAAAAAAAAAAAAAGCAUUAAAGAACUGAAACUCACCAGAUGAGACCUCCUUGUUCCUCCCUAGUUCGUGUUUCCUACACAUUGUUACAUUUCUUGCCUGUUGUAUAAAACCCCAUUUUUAGUCAGUCAGGGCGAUGGAUUUGAGGCUGAGCUCCCAUCUCCUCAGCUGCAGCACCAGAUGAAAGCUUCUUCCCUGGAAACACUCACCAUCUCAGUGAUUGGCUUUCUGUGCAGUGAGCAGCAGGACUUAGACCAAACCCAUGGUGUUUUGGUAACAACCUCACCAAAAUAGAUGGGCACACACACAAGCCUUUAAAGAUACAAAGUUAAACGGAUAGUAUGGAUCAUUCAGUAUAGAGGAAACAGCAUAGCAAAUGUAUAGAGACGGAAAAUUACUAGAUAUGUUCCAGGAGCAACAUGCAAAUUCCACUGCCAGUUUUGGCUGUGAGGUCAAACAGAUCUGAUCUGAAUGUUUGCAUUCCUCCAAAAUUCAUACAUUGAAACCUAAUUCCCAAUGCAAUAACAUUAAGAGGUGGGGUCUCUAGGAGGUGACCAGGUCAUAAGGGUGGACCCUUCAUGAAUGGGUUUAGUACCCUUAUAAAAAUGUCUGAGAGAGCUUGCUUGUUUCUUCUGCCAUAUGAGGACAUAGAGAAAACUCCAUCUAUGAUGAAUGGGCCCUCAGCAGGCACCGAGUCUACUGCUGCCAUAUGAGGACAUACAGAAGAAUCCAUCCAUGAUGCAUGGGCCCUCAGCAGGCACCGAUUCUACUGCUGCCUUGAGCUUGGACCUCUGGCCUCCAGAACUACUAGCAAUACAUUUCUGUUGUUUUAUAAAUUACCUAGUCUAAGGUACAUUGCAGCAGAAAUGGACUGAGAGAGACAUCUUUCAGAGAAUUACCUCUGUUUGUUUGUCUGUUUCUGUUUUGUAAAACUGGAAGAAGAAUAGAACUUACAGUUCUGUGGUAUAAGAUUGUGUCCAGAAUUGGUGGGUUCUUGGUCUCACUGACUUCAAGAAUGAAGCUACAGACCCUCAAGGUGAGUGUUACAGUUCUUAAAGGCGGCGUGUCUGGAGUCUGUUCCUUCUGAUGUUCAGAUGUGUUGGGAGUUUCUUCCUUCUGGUGGGUUUGUGGUCUUGCUGGCUCAGGAGUGAAGCUGCAGACCUUCGCGGUGAGUGUUACAGCUCUUGGGGCAGUGUGUCUAGAGUUGUUCGUUCCUCCUGGUGGGCUCCUGGUAUCGCUGGCUUCAGGAGUGAAGCUGCAGACCUUCACGGUGAGUGUUACAGCUCAUAAAGGUAGUGUGGACCCAAAGAGUGAGCAGUAGCAAGCUUUAUUGCAAAGAGCAAAAGAACAAAGCUUCCACAGUGUGGAAGGGGACCCCAGCAGAUUGAAGCUUCUGGCUCGGGUAGCCUGCUUUUAUUCUCUUAUCUGGCCCCACCCACAUCCUGCUGAUUGGUCCAUUUUACAGAGAGCCGAUUGGUCUGUUUCACAAAGAGCUGAUUGGUCAGUUUUGACAGGGUGCUGAUUGGUUCGUUUACAAUCCCUGAGCUAGACACAAAAGUUCUCCACAUCCCCACUAGAUUAGCUAGAUAGAGUGUCGAUUGGUGUAUUUACAAACCCUGAGCUAGACAGAGUGCUGAUUGGUGCAUUUACAAACCUUGAGCUAGAUACAGCGUGUCAAUUGUUGCAUUCACAAUCCCUUAGCUAGACAUAAAGGUUCUCCAAGUCCUCACCAGAUUAACUAGAUACAGAGUGCUGAUUGGUGCAUUCACAAACCCUGAGCUAGACGCAGGGUGCUGAUUGGUGUGUUUACAAACCUUGAGCUAGAUACAGAGUGCUGAUUGGUGUAUUUACAAUCACUUAGCUAGACAUAAAGAUUCUCCAAGUCCCCACCAGACUCAGGAGCACAGCUGGCUUCACCCAGUGGAUCCUGCACCAGGGCCGCAGGUGGAGCUGCCCGCCACUUCCGCACUAUGAGCCCGCACUCCUCAGCCCUUGGGCGGUCGAUGGGACUAGGCACAGCCCUGGAGCAGGGAGCGCCCCUUGUCGGGGAGGCUCGGGCUGCACAGGAGCCCAUGUGGGGGUGCGGCGGGGGAGGCAGGCUCAGGCAUGGUGGGCUGCAGGUCCCAAGCCCUGCCCUGCCGGAGGCAGCUAAGGCCCAGCAAGAAGUCGAGCACAGCAGCUGGUGGCCCA